CCCAGAGGCUGCAAGGAGCCGGAAAGGGGAAGCCGGGACGCCUCGCCCUGGGCUGAUCGGCGGUGGCGGCGGUGCCGCAGAGUGACGGAGCCUUUUCCGUCGAGGGGCCUCGGGCAGCUUUACCCUUCACCCUGCCCCAGCAAGCCUAGAGUCGGCCAGGAAAUCCCAGAGUGUGCACCAGGGCCCCUAACCAUGCUCUUGCUGGGACCCCGGCAAACGGAGUCUGGAAGCCCAGUAAGGCCACGUCAACUCUGCCCCGGCCACGCAGACCGGAAAGCUGCAACCUGCCCCAGCGCCCUAAGUGGGGUACGCGGACUCCGCAGACCCAAUCCGAGCGCGGGAUGGGAGCCACCAAGAGAUUCCUAGAUUGGGGCCCAGGAUUUAGCUCCAUGGCACAUGUGAAGACCCUGGAACUCCAGCACAGUGGAAAAAGAAAACAGCAACUUGUCCUGGAUCCCCACAUCUAGAAAGUUCCUCUGUGAUUUCUUUUGAUUUGGGGCCAUACCUAGUGAUGCUCAGGGGUGACUCCUGCCUCUGCACUCAAGAAUCACUCCUGACAGUGCUCAGGGGAUCACAUAUGGUGCCAGGGAUGGAACCCAUGUCAGUCACAUGUAAAGCAAAAGCCCUAUUCACUGUACUCUCUCUCCGGCCCUGAUCUAGAAUGUUCUGACUGCCAACCUCCAUUCCAAGUAUUUUUCACUCGGUCUUCCCAGGACUCCUGGGAGAGAUGAAUUCAUUCCCAAGACCUUCAGACCAUCUCUUCACUCACAAGGCCUUGUUCCAUUUGUAUCCCUCAUGCUAAUCUUUUUUGCCAUUUCAAACUUUCACAAUAAAAAGGAGACAUGGAAAA